GCCUGUGUCUGACUCAGAAGAUGACUAUAUGGAUGGAAUGGACAGUUGAGUUUGUGUCUAAGCUGUGGCCACCUUAGUAGUAUAUCCUCCUGGUAGCUCUCCUUCCCUGCCACACUCAUCCAUCAGCCCAUUUCCUGAGGAUUCACCUUUAAUAAGAAAGUAACAUGUUCUUCUUGACGUAAAGAACAAAUCAUGCCCAUUGAAAGUAUACAACUGGAUGAAUUUUGACAGAAUUAUGUAUACUCCCUUGAAGCCACCGCUGAAACGAGAUGCAGAACAUCAGCACCACCUCCUGGACUUCCUCCCAAGGCUGUAAUCCACCUACUCUCUACCCCAACCCCCAGGUAGAACUGACUUCCCAUGGUUUAUGACAGGCUUCAUUUCCAAAGUGGAAUGCAGUUCUUCAAAUAAGAAGAUGCACCUCUCUCCAGAGCUAACAGAAACACACGGAAUGCAGUAAUAACUAUAAAAAAUCAAAGAGCUUCAGCGUAUGUAGUUUCCACUUUGA